rnacentral:rRNA from 4 species
GUGUAAGUUAUUAAGGGCACACGGUGGAUGCCUUGGCAUUAAGAGCCGAUGAAGGACGUGUGAAUCUGCGAUAAGCCUCGGGGAGCCGAUAACUGGGCUGUGAUCCGAGGAUUUCCGAAUGGGGAAACCUGGCUCAUCUUCAUGGUGAGUUACCGCCAGCUGAAUGUAUAGGCUGGUUGGGGGGAACGCGGGGAAGUGAAACAUCUCAGUACCCGCAGGAAGAGAAAAUAAAGUAAUGAUUCUGUGAGUAGUGGCGAGCGAAAGCGGAAGAGACUAAACCUGUGGUGUGUGAUAGCGGUUAGGCGUUGCAUCAUGGGGGUUGUGGGAGUCACAGUGGCAGUUCUAACUGGCUGCCGGCAUGAUGUUCAGGAUGGUAGGUGAACGACUUGGAAUGGUCGGCCGUAGAGGGUGAGAGUCCCGUAAUCGAAAUUGUUCUGUCCGUGGUGUGGCCACCCGAGUAGCACGGGGCUCGUGGAAUCUCGUGUGAAUCUGCCAGGACCACCUGGUAAGUCUAAAUACUUCUUAAUGACCGAUAGUGAAUCAGUACCGUGAGGGAAUGGUGAAAAGUACCCCGGGAGGGGAGUGAAAUAGUACCUGAAACCGUGUGCUUACAAGCCGUUGGAGCCUUUUGGGGUGACAGCGUGCCUUUUGAAGAAUGAGCCUGCGAGUUAGUGUUAUGUCGCGAGGUUAACCCGUGUGGGGUAUCCGUAGCGAAAGCGAGUCUGAAUAGGGCGUUUGAGUGGCAUGACCUAGACCCGAAGCGGAGUGAUCUAUCCAUGGCCAGGUUGAAGCGACGGUAAGACGUCGUGGAGGACCGAACCCACUUCAGUUGAAAAUGGAGGGGAUGAGCUGUGGAUAGGGGUGAAAGGCCAAUCAAACUCUGUGAUAGCUGGUUCUCCCCGAAAUGCAUUUAGGUGCAGCGUUACGUGUUUCUUGCCGGAGGUAGAGCUACUGGAUGGCCGAUGGGCCUUCACGGGUUACUGACGUCAGCUAAACUCCGAAUGCCGGUAAGUGAGAGCGUAGCAGUGAGACAGUGGGGGAUAAGCUUCAUUGUCGAGAGGGAAACAGCCCAGACCACCAACUAAGGCCCCUAAGCGUGUGCUAAGUGGGAAAGGAUGUGGAGUUGCUUAGACAACCAGGAGGUUGGCUUAGAAGCAGCCAUCCUUGAAAGAGUGCGUAACAGCUCACUGGUCAAGUGAUUCUGCGCCGAUAAUGUAGCGGGGCUCAAGUACACCGCCGAAGUUGUGGCAAUGA